rnacentral:rRNA from 1 species
AUUGAACGCUGGCGGCAGGCCUAACACAUGCAAGUCGAGCGGAUGAAGGGAGCUUGCUCCUGGAUUCAGCGGCGGACGGGUGAGUAAUGCCUAGGAAUCUGCCUGGUAGUGGGGGAUAACGUCCGGAAACGGGCGCUAAUACCGCAUACGUCCUGAGGGAGAAAGUGGGGGAUCUUCGGACCUCACGCUCUCAGAUGAGCCUAGGUCGGAUUAGCUAGUUGGUGGGGUAAAGGCCUACCAAGGCGACGAUACGUAACUGGUCUGAGAGGAUGAUCAGGCACACUGGAACUGAGACACGGUCCAGACUCCUACGGGAGGCAGCAGUGGGGAAUAUUGGACAAUGGGCGAAAGCCUGAUCCAGCCAUGCCGCGUGUGUGAAGAAGGUAUUCGGAUUGUAAAGCACUUUAAGUUGGGAGGAAGGGCAGUAAGUUAAUACCUUGCUGUUUUGACGUUACCAACAGAAUAAGCACCGGCUAACUUCGUG